UCAGAAGGUUGCUGGUUCGAUCCCCACAGUCACCACCAUUGUGUCCUUGAGUAAGACACUUAACUCCAGGUUGCUCCGGGGGGAUUGUCCCUGUAAUAAGUGCACUGUAUAAUACAUUGGUACUCAGAAGGUUGCUGGUUCGAUCCCCACAGUCACCACCAUUGUGUCCUUGAGUAAGACACUUAACUCCAGGUUGCUCCGGGGGGAUUGUCCCUGUAAUAAGUGCUCUGUAUAAUACAUUGGUACUCAGAAGGUUGCUGGUUCGAUCCCCACAGUCACCACCAUUGUGUCCUUGAGUAAGACACUUAACUCCAGGUUGCUCCGGGGGGAUUGUCCCUGUAAUAAGUGCUCUGUAUAAUACAUUGGUACUCAGAAGGUUGCUGGUUUGAUCCCCACAGUCACCACCAUUGUGUCCUUGAGUAAGGCACUUAACUCCAGGUUGCUCCGGGGGGAUUGUCCCUGUAAUAAGUGCACUGUAUAAUACAUUGGUACUCAGAAGGUUGCUGGUUUGAUCCCCACAGUCACCACCAUUGUGUCCUUGAGUAAGACACUUAACUCCAGGUUGCUCCGGGGGGAUUGUCCCUGUAAUAAGUGCACUGUAUAAUACAUUGGUACUCAGAAGGUUGCUGGUUUGAUCCCCACAGUCACCACCAUUGUGUCCUUGAGUAAGGCACUUAACUCCAGGUUGUUCCGGGGGGAUUGUCCCUGUAAUAAGUGCUCUGUAUAAUACAUUGGUACUCAGAAGGUUGCUGGUUUGAUCCCCACAGUCACCACCAUUGUGUCCUUGAGUAAGACACUUAACUCCAGGUUGUUCCGGGGGGAUUGUCCCUGUAAUAAGUGCUCUGUAUAAUACAUUGGUACUCAGAAGGUUGCUGGUUUGAUCCCCACAGUCACCACCAUUGUGUCCUUGAGUAAGACACUUAACUCCAGGUUGCUCCGGGGGGAUUGUCCCUGUAAUAAGUGCUCUGUAUAAUACAUUGGUAAUCAGAAGG